UACGUAGGGUGCGAGCGUUGUCCGGAAUUACUGGGCGUAAAGAGCUUGUAGGUGGUUUGUCGCGUUGUUCGUGAAAUCUCACGGCUUAACUGUGAGCGUGCGGGCGAUACGGGCAGACUAGAGUACUGCAGGGGAGACUGGAAUUCCUGGUGUAGCGGUGGAAUGCGCAGAUAUCAGGAGGAACACCGGUGGCGAAGGCGGGUCUCUGGGCAGUAACUGACGCUGAGAAGCGAAAAGCGUGGGGGAGCGAACAGG
rnacentral:rRNA from 1 species